rnacentral:rRNA from 1 species
GACGAACGCUGGCGGCGUGCUUAGCACAUGCAAGUCGAACGGUGAAGCGCCUUCCUUUUUGGUGGGUGUGGAUGAGUGGCGAACGGGUGAGUAACACGUGAGUAACCUGCCCCCUUCUUCUGGAUAACCGCAUGAAAGUGUGGCUAAUACGGGAUAUUCUGGGUCUGUCGCAUGAUGGGUCUGGGAAAGAUAUUGUUUCGGUGGGGGAUGGGCUCGCGGCCUAUCAGCUUGUUGGUGGGGUGAUGGCCUACCAAGGCGGUGACGGGUAGCCGGCCUGGGAGGGUGGACGGUCACACUGGGACUGAGACACGGCCCAGACUCCUACGGGAGGCAGCAGUGGGGAAUAUUGCACAAUGGGCGCAAGCCUGAUGCAGCGACGCCGCGUGAGGGAUGGAGGCCUGCGGGUUGUGAACCUCUUUCGCCAGUGAAGCAGGCCUGCCUCGUUUGUGGGUGGGUUGACGGUAGCUGGAUAAGAAGCGCCGGCUAACUACGUG